UUCAGCUGGGAAUGAAGCCUCCUGCCCAUUUGUUUACCACAGAGGGAGCCCAGGAGAAGGACAAAGUGCUGGAGUGAAGGAGGUGGUACAGAAAUCACUGCAGGCACCUGCUGUUUCUGGAAGUUUCUGUUUUGAGGUUCAGUGCCUCCUGCAGCUUUUGCAGAGUCCCAGAUCCACAAUCUGGUUUAUCAAAGGUCACUAGUCCACGUCCCUCUCCCAUGGAAAAUCAGGAGUUUGAGAAGCAGAGUCAAGUGGUUUGUGCAAGUUGUCUAGAAAAAGGACAAAGUCUCCUGGUUGAGAAUUUGUGACAUGAAGGUCUGAGUAAGAG
rnacentral:lncRNA from 1 species